GAACGGCAGCACAGUAAGAGCUUGCUCUUAUGGGUGGCGAGUGGCGGACGGGUGAGGAAUACAUCGGAAUCUACUUUUUCGUGGGGGAUAACGUAGGGAAACUUACGCUAAUACCGCAUACGACCUACGGGUGAAAGCAGGGGAUCUUCGGACCUUGCGCGAUUGAAUGAGCCGAUGUCGGAUUAGCUAGUUGGCGGGGUAAAGGCCCACCAAGGCGACGAUCCGUAGCUGGUCUGAGAGGAUGAUCAGCCACACUGGAACUGAGACACGGUCCAGACUCCUACGGGAGGCAGCAGUGGGGAAUAUUGGACAAUGGGCGCAAGCCUGAUCCAGCCAUACCGCGUGGGUGAAGGAGGCCUUCGGGUUGUAAAGCCCUUUUGUUGGGAAAGAAAUCCAGCCGGCUAAUACCUGGCUGGGAUGACGGUACCCAAAGAAUAAGCACCGGCUAACUUCGUG
rnacentral:rRNA from 1 species